rnacentral:rRNA from 1 species
ACGGGGACCCGCACAAGCAGCGGAGCGUGUGGUUUAAUCGUUGCUACACGAAGAACCUUACCUGGGUUUGACAUAUAAGUUGUAGGGAACUGAAAAGGGACCGACCCUUCGGGGAGCUUAUACAGGUGUUGCAUGGCUGUCGUCAGCUCGUGUCGUGAGAUGUUCGGUUAAGUCCGCUAACGAGCGCAACCCUCGCCGUAUGUUACAAGUGUCAUACGGGACUGCCGGUAAAAAGCCGGAGGAAGGUGAGGAUGAUGUCAAGUCAGCAUGACCUUUAUAUCCAGGGCUACACACACGCUACAAUGGUCUGUACAAUUGGUUGCCAAGCCGCGAGGCGGAGCCAAUCCGUAAAGCAGGCCUCAGUUCAGAUUGCAGUCUGCAACUCGACUGCAUGAAGCCGGAGUUGCUAGUAACCGCAGGUCAGCAAUACUGCGGUGAAUACGUUCCCGGGGUUU